GCUGGCGGCGUGCCUAAUACAUGCAAGUCGAGCGAACAGACGAGGAGCUUGCUCCUCUGACGUUAGCGGCGGACGGGUGAGUAACACGUGGAUAACCUACCUAUAAGACUGGGAUAACUUCGGGAAACCGGAGCUAAUACCGGAUAAUAUAUUGAACCGCAUGGUUCAAUAGUGAAAGACGGUUUUGCUGUCACUUAUAGAUGGAUCCGCGCCGCAUUAGCUAGUUGGUAAGGUAACGGCUUACCAAGGCAACGAUGCGUAGCCGACCUGAGAGGGUGAUCGGCCACACUGGAACUGAGACACGGUCCAGACUCCUACGGGAGGCAGCAGUAGGGAAUCUUCCGCAAUGGGCGAAAGCCUGACGGAGCAACGCCGCGUGAGUGAUGAAGGUCUUCGGAUCGUAAAACUCUGUUAUUAGGGAAGAACAAAUGUGUAAGUAACUAUACACAGUAGAGACGGUACCUAACCAGAAAGCCACGGCUAACUACGUGCCAGCAGCCGCGGUAAUACGUAGGUGGCAAGCGUUGUCCGGAAUUAUUGGGCGUAAAGCGCGCGCAGGUGGUUUAAUAAGUCUGAUGUGAAAGCCCACGGCUCAACCGUGGAGGGUCAUUGGAAACUGGAAAACUUGAGUGCAGAAGAGGAAAGUGGAAUUCCAUGUGUAGCGGUGAAAUGCGCAGAGAUAUGGAGGAACACCAGUGGCGAAGGCGGCUUUUUGGCCUGUAACUGACACUGAGGCGCGAAAGCGUGGGGAGCAAACAGGAUUAGAUACCCUGGUAGUCCACGCCGUAAACGAUGAGUGCUAGGUGUUAGACCCUUUCCGGGGUUUAGUGCCGUAGCUAACGCAUUAAGCACUCCGCCUGGGGAGUACGACCGCAAGGUUGAAACUCAAAGGAAUUGACGGGGGCCCGCACAAGCGGUGGAGCAUGUGGUUUAAUUCGAAGCAACGCGAAGAACCUUACCAGGUCUUGACAUCCCUCUGACCGCUCUAGAGAUAGAGUUUUCCUUCGGGACAGAGGUGACAGGUGGUGCAUGGUUGUCGUCAGCUCGUGUCGUGAGAUGUUGGGUUAAGUCCCGCAACGAGCGCAACCCUUGUUCACUGUUGCCAGCACGUUAUGGUGGG
rnacentral:rRNA from 1 species